rnacentral:rRNA from 1 species
GGGGAAUAUUGGACAAUGGGCGAAAGCCUGAUCCAGCAAUGCCGCGUGAGUGAUGAAGGCCUUAGGGUUGUAAAGCUCUUUUACCAGGGAUGAUAAUGACAGUACCUGGAGAAUAAGCUCCGGCUAACUCCGUGCCAGCAGCCGCGGUAAUACGGAGGGAGCUAGCGUUGUUCGGAAUUACUGGGCGUAAAGCGCGCGUAGGCGGUUUUUUAAGUCAGAGGUGAAAGCCCAGUGCUCAACACUGGAACUGCCUUUGAAACUGGAAAACUUGAAUCUUGGAGAGGUCAGUGGAAUUCCGAGUGUAGAGGUGAAAUUCGUAGAUAUUCGGAAGAACACCAGUGGCGAAGGCGACUGACUGGACAAGUAUUGACGCUGAGGUGCGAAAGCGUGGGGAGCAAAC